GAGUUUGAUUCUGGCUCAGGAUGAACGCUAGCGAUAGGCUUAACACAUGCAAGUCGAGGGGCAGCAUGAACUUAGCUUGCUAAGUUUGAUGGCGACCGGCGCACGGGUGCGUAACGCGUAUGCAACUUGCCUUACAGAGGGGGAUAACCCGUUGAAAGGCGGACUAAUACCGCAUAUACUUAUUCGGUUGCAUGACCGGGCAAGGAAAUAUUUAUAGCUGUAAGAUAGGCAUGCGUCCCAUUAGCUGGUUGGUGAGGUAACGGCUCACCAAGGCAACGAUGGGUAGGGGAACUGAGAGGUUUAUCCCCCACACUGGUACUGAGACACGGACCAGACUCCUACGGGAGGCAGCAGUGAGGAAUAUUGGUCAAUGGGCGAGAGCCUGAACCAGCCAAGUCGCGUGAAGGAAGACUGUCCUAAGGAUUGUAAACUUCUUUUAUACGGGAAUAACGGGCGAUACGCGUAUUGCUAUGAAU
rnacentral:rRNA from 1 species